AGCAGCCGCGGUAAUUCCAGCUCCAAUAGCGUAUAUUAAAGUUGUUGCAGUUAAAAAGCUCGUAGUUGAAUUUCGGAAUCAGUACGGCGGUCGUGCCUCUGGUAUGUACUGUUGUUACUGGUUUCUCCCUUCUGAAGAACUAUCAUGUCAUUAAUUUGGUGUGGUGGGGAAUCAGGACUGUUACUUUGAAAAAAUUAGAGUGUUUAAAGCAGGCUCGCGCUUGAAUACAUUAGCAUGGAAUAAUGAAAUAGGACGUUUGAUCCUAUUUUGUUGGUUUCUAGGAUUGACGUAAUGAUUAAUAGGGAUAGUUGGGGGCAUUAGUAUUCAAUUGUCAGAGGUGAAAUUCUUGGAUUUAUUGAAGACUAACUACUGCGAAAGCAUUUGCCAAGGAUGUUUUCAU
rnacentral:rRNA from 1 species